GGAGAGGUGCCAGAGUGGACGAUUGGGGCGGUCUCGAAAACCGCUGUAGCCGCAAGGCUACCGUGGGUUCGAAUCCCACCCUCUCCG
rnacentral:tRNA from 1 species